rnacentral:misc_RNA from 1 species
AAGUCGUAACAAGGUUUCCGUAGGUGAACCUGCGGAAGGAUCAUUACCAAAUCCAAAUACCCAACCCCAUGUGAACCUGUUUCUGUCUGUCUUUGGGGGGAGAAGCUGCUGGCUGGCUUCUGCCACUUGUUGUCUUUUUCCCCCAAAUGAGCCUAGCGCUCCGGCGCUUCCUGGCUCAACUGACUAAACAACUUUUAAAUUUAUUGUUGGAAUACUUCUUUAUUAAUCUUAAUAGAGGACAACUUUUAACGGUGGAUCUCUUGGCUCGUG